AUUGAACGCUGGCGGCAGGCCUAACACAUGCAAGUCGAGCGAGCGGCGGACGGGUGAGUAAUGUCUGGGAAACUGCCUGAUGGAGGGGGCUAACUACUGGAAACGGUAGCUAAUACCGCAUACCAUCAGAUGUGCCCAUAUGGGAUUAGCUAGUAGGUGGGGUAACGGCUCACCUAGGCGACGAUCCCUAGCUGGUCUGAGAGGAUGAUCAGCAACACGGGAACUGAGACACGGUCCAGACUCCUACGGGAGGCAGCAGUGGGGAAUAUUGCACAAUGGGCGCAAGCCUGAUGCAGCCAUGCCGCGGGUAUGAAGAAGGCCUUCGGGUUGUAAAGUACUUUCAGCCGGGAGGCGUUACCCGCAGAAGAAGCACCGGCUAACUCCGUGCCAGCAGCCGCGGUAAUAC
rnacentral:rRNA from 1 species